AGCGAACGCUGGCGGCAGGCCUAACACAUGCAAGUCGAACGAACUCUUCGGAGUUAGUGGCGGACGGGUGAGUAACACGUGGGAACGUGCCUUUUGGUUCGGAAUAACUCAGGGAAACUUGUGCUAAUACCGAAUGUGCCCUUCUGGGGAAAGAUUUAUCGCCAUUAGAGCGGCCCGCGUCUGAUUAGCUAGUUGGUGAGGUAACGGCUCACCAAGGCGACGAUCAGUAGCUGGUCUGAGAGGAUGACCAGCCACACUGGGACUGAGACACGGCCCAGACUCCUACGGGAGGCAGCAGUGGGGAAUCUUGCGCAAUGGGCGAAAGCAUGACGCAGCCAUGCCGCGUGAAUGAUGAAGGUCUUAGGAUUGUAAAAUUCUUUCACCGGGGACGAUAAUGACGGUACCCGGAGAAGAAGCCCCGGCUAACUUCGUG
rnacentral:rRNA from 1 species